UGAUUCCUUCGGGGCUGGGUGAAAAUCCCGACCGGCGGUGAUGAAGCGAAUGCUUCUUAGUCCGUGACCCGUUUCUAAUGUAUUAGAAGCGGUGGACCUGGUGCAAAUCCGGGACCGACAGUGAAAGUCUGGAUGGGAGAAGGAACGA
rnacentral:ncRNA from 2 species